rnacentral:tRNA from 1 species
GCCUGGUUGGCUCAGUCGGUUGAGCAUCUGACUCUUGAUUUCCACUCAGGUCCUGAUCCCAGGAUCGUAGGAUCGAGUCCCACAUCAGUCU